GCCCAAAAAAGCUCAUUUGGUAGAGCAUGAGACUCUCAGUCUGAGGGUUGUGGGUUCGAGCCCUGCAAUGGGUG